UUCCGGUUGAUCCUGCCGGACCUGACUGCUAUCGGAUUGAUACUAAGCCAUGCGAGUCAUUGUAGCAAUACAAGGCAGACGGCUCAGUAACGCGUAGUCAACCUACCCUAUGGACGGGAAUAACCUCGGGAAACUGAGUAUAAUGCCCGAUAGAACACUAUACCUGGAAUGGUUUGUGUUUCAAAUGAUUUAUUGCCGUAGGAUGGGACUGCGGCCUAUCAGUUUGUUGGUGAGGUAAUGGCCCACCAAGACUAUUACAGGUACGGGCUCUGAGAGGAGUGGCCCGGAGAUGGGUACUGAGACACGGACCCAGGCCCUAUGGGGCGCAGCAGGCGAGAAAACUUUGCAAUGUGCGAAAGCACGACAAGGUUAAUCCGAGUGGUUUCUGCUAAAGGAACCUUUUGACAGUCCUAGAAACACUGUUGAAUAAGGGGUGGGCAAGUUCUGGUGUCAGCCGCCGCGGUAAAACCAGCACCUCAAGUGGUCAGGAUGAUUAUUGGGCCUAGAGCAUCCGUAGCCGGCUCAGUAAGUUUUCGGUUAAAUCUGUACG
rnacentral:rRNA from 1 species